rnacentral:SRP_RNA from 1 species
GCUGGGUGCACUGGCGUGUACCUGUAGUCCCAGUUACUGAGGAGGCUGAGGUGGGAGGAUCUCUUGAACCCAGGGGGUUGAAGCUGCAGUGAGCUGUAAUCACACCACUGCACUUCAAACCUGGGUGACAGAGUGAGACCCUGUCUCAA